CGUCUUUUUAGGGCCGCACCUGUGGCAUAUGGAGGUUCCAGGCUAGAGGUCUAAUCGGAGCUAUAGCUGCUGGCCUUCGCCAGAGCCACAGCAAUGCCAGAUCCGAACCACAUCUGCGACCUACACCACAGCUCAUGGCAACGCUGGAUCCUCAACCCACUGAGCAAGGCCAGGGAUCAAACCUGCAACCUCAUGGUUCCUAGUCAGAUUCGUUUCGUUGUGCCACAACGGGAACUCCACCAAUACUUAUUUUUAAACUCUUAUGUUUUCUUUUAGUAUUUAUAUAUUCUUAUUUUUCACAUUUAAAUUAAUCUGGAACUUAAUUUAAGAGUAAUCUGUGGGUUCAACUAUAUCUAUAACUAUCUAUCCAUCCAUCUAUUAUCUAGCUAUCUAUCAAUUUUUGGCCAAUUGUCUUAGUUUGAUAUACCAAAUAGUUCAUCCUUUUCUAGUGGGUUUAAAAUAUGCUUCUCACAUUGUCAAUUUGUAUGAACUUCCUUCAGCUUUUGGACACUGCAUUAGACCCCACUGAAUUAUAUAAAGUCCUUGAACACUUAUCAGUUCCAUAUUGUUGUAAUUAUUAGAAUUCUAAAAUAUAUCUUAACAAGAUCAUAUGCGUUAAUCUUGUUUUUAUAUUUUUAAAUGAUUUUAAUAUUUAUUUUGCUGGAUAGAUUUUAGAUUCACAUUUUUUCCUAAGAACUCUGCAUCUCCCCAUAAUCCUACUAGAUGUCCAGGAAGCCUUCUUUAUAUUAACAAUUAGAUGCAAGGUGAAUUGGUAACACUUAAAUAUUUAGAUUUUCCACCCAGUUUCGUUUUUAGAUGUCUACUUAUUUUUUCUUUUUUGUUCAACCUAUGCAUGUGGAGUUCUCAGGCCAAGGAUCAGAUGUGAGCUGUAGUUGCAACCUAAGCCGAAGCUGCAGCAGUGCUGGAUCCUUAACCACUGUGCAGGGGAUCAAACCUGCAUCCCAGUGCUCCCAAGACACCACUGAUCCCGUUGUGCCACAGUAGGAACUCCUAUAGUAGUUAUUUUAAAUGGGAAACUUUUCUUUUUCAUUCUCUUUGAUACUGAUAUUAUGAAUGACAUACAAAUAUAUACUGAAUUUUUGUGUAAUCAAGUAUAGCCAAUUUAUUAAUUUAUUUUUAUAAAGUAUUUAUUUGCUGAUUUACUUAGGUUUUCCUCAGUGAAUAAUUGUGUCAUCGAUACAAAAAUAAUUUUGAUAAUUUUGCCUCUUCUUUUCCAAUGUAUACAUUUAUCUUUUGCUGUUUUAUUUCAUUUGCUAGAAUUUCUAGAAAAAUACAGAAUAAUAGUUUUAGUGGGGGUUUGGUCUUAUCUUCAUCUUAGGUGAACAUGGUUUUAAUAUUUUCCUGGUUCUGAGUUUCUGGCAGAUUAUAAUUUCAAGAAAAAGCAUAUUUAGUUUCAUUUACUAAGAAAUUUACUGGAAAUGGAUGUUGAUAUUCUUAAAUUAAUUUAAAAUAUUCUUGAUGUUAAUUUUUAGAAGGUCUUUUUAAUAUAGUAAAUAUCUAUAAAAUAGAAAUUAUAUAGAAGCUUUAUAAUAUCUUAACUUAUUUUUGGUUGUGCCUCCCAAAAGAAUUCCCUAAAAUAAAUAAGUUAAUUGUCAGUUACUAGUUCUGUCAAAUCUGGGUUUCCCUUUCAACAUAUCUGGACAGAUAACCUCCAAGGAGAUCUGCUAAGAAUACUUUUUUGUCUUUUUACGGCUGCCCCUGCAGCCUAUGGAAGUUCCUGGGCGUGGAGCUGAAGUAAAGCUGCAGCUGCUGGCCUAUGCCAUAGCCACAACAAUGUGGGAUCCAAGCCACAUCUGUGACCUAAACUGCAGCCUGCAGCAAUGCUGGAUCCUUAACCUACUGAGCGAGGCUAGCGAUUGAUCUUACAUCCUCACAGACACUAUCUUGGGUCCUUAACCUGCUGAGCAACAAUGGGAACUCUAAAAAUAUUUUUUAAACAUUUUAGAAAUAGAAGUAACAUUGUUUAAAAAAAUUAAAGAUAUAAAUAAAAGUAAAAAAUUCAUAAAAACUCAUAUACUAAUAAACAUAGAUAAUUACUAGUCAAUAUUGCGUACUUGGUUUUUUUAUAUAUGUUUUCUUUCUUCUUUCUAAUAUAUGUGUAUAAAAUACAUUAAAAAUAGAAUAUCUUUUAUAUCCUGCUUUCUAAAUAGGAUAAAAAAAAUAGGAGUUAUUGUAGAAAGUAUAAAAAGAAGGUUUAGAAUUGCUCAAACUGGUAAAUCUUCAUAAAUUUUCCUAUGACCCACUCUUAGAGUCUGGCACUGUUUUCAACAUCAACAUGAUAUUCUUCCAGGAAAAAAAAAGAAUUGAAAAAAUUUCCCAUUAUAAAAUACUACAGAAUAUCUGAAAAGUAGCAAAAUUUAUUUAAUAUUUUUGAAAAGCAAAUAAAAAGAAUGUAGUAUUACAUUAGACCUAAAGAUCUAAUAUUUAUCAGAUCACUUGCCCUAUGGAAAACCAAUGUAGCACAAGGUAGAAUCAAUAGGAUUAUCAGAGAAGGGUCAGUUUGCAUUAUAGAAUUCAAUGCUGAUUCAUAAUGCAAAAGCAUUGUCAUCAAGCUGUGGUAGAAAGCAUUCUUUAUCACUCCAAAAAAAAAAAAACCAAAAAGCCCUAAUAGUGUCUGUUAAAACUAUUUGACUCCUGGUUUCAGGCAAAGAUUUGUAAAACUUAAUGUCUCAUUUAUUGCAAACAUAUUACCACAGGGAAGAAAAUAUUGAAUUUUUUAGGUCCACUAUUCAUAAAUUAACUAUCUAGUGAUAAAAGCUACAAACAAGAUCAUUCACAGAAAUUGGUUAUUUUCUUAACAAUGGAAGAUGGAUUUGCAUACUGCCUUAGAAUGAGGUAAGUUGAUUCUUCUGUUUACCCACAGGCUAUCAUCUAACAGUUCCACUGCUAAUGAUUAUAGAUAAAGACAUUUGUAUCAGCCUUCUCUCAGUAAUGCUUGGAACUAAAGCAAUUCAUCAAUAAGCCAUUUGUUCCCUUUUUUGAAUUAAACAAUCUGUUAGGAUAUUCUUUUCCAUCAGAGAAGAAAUAUGGAUUCUAUUUCCCAGAAUGUAAAUAAUUUUUGACUCUCCAUGUCUGAAAUGUUUCCGCUUAGACUUGACAAGCGCCUUUUCAGAAGGUGAUGCCGUCCUAAAGGUUAAAGUGGAUGAAGUGCAGGUAUAUGAGCCCGGUUUUCCUACUGCAGCAGUAAAAUGAGAGAUAAUCAAUAGGUGAAUGGAUAUUAGAUGCUCAUUUUAGAAACCAUGGGAUUCAAACAUGAGAUCAGGCUUUACUACAUAAAGACAAUUGAACUAUGGUAAACUGCAUAGUUGUUUGGCCAAAGUGGAACUGCCUGAUCCCAGGGCACUCCUCCACCUUACAUUUGCUUGAUGCACUGAAAUUCUCACAAAUAUGCCUCUUAAGGAGCACAGCAGGCCACACCAUUUCUUUACUACAACUCCCUGUCAAUGUCUGUUUAUACCAUAAAUUAUAUAUAUACACACACACAUAUAUAUACAUAUUUUCCCCUACAAUAACCAGCUAUCUUGCCAGGGCCUUAAUGCAAAAUGACCAUAUAUAACUUUUCAGUACUUUCAUAAGUGAAAUUCCAAGGUGAAGCCUGGGUUUGGCCAGAAGGAGAUUCUGAGAAAAUGAAAGAAAAUGAUGGAAGGCAACCUCCAGAAAGGCUAGGUGGCCAUAUUUUAACAGGGAUACAAUGUUAUAUCCUAAAAGUCAUUUUAAAAAAAAAACACGGUAUUUUGAGAAACUCUACAUAUGUGCAGGAUGAUUCUACACAGGCAAUACAAUAGGUAAAGCACUUAUAGAACAAACCCAAUCAACAUACAAAGUAAUCAGACGACUGAGGUCUCAACAGUAGGUGUCCCUGUUUUGCCCAAAUAAACCAGGAAGAAAGUAUCCUAAAACUACUUAUUGCCCUAAAUUUGGCCCUAUGACCCCUGGUAUCCCACAGUUGGCUUGGCUUGUGACACAGAUUUUGGUUCCGACCUUCUAUCAUGGAUGCAGAUGUGGUUUCCUCUCUGGCCCCAUCACUCACCAAAGACACUUGUUCCAAACCUAGAGAUCUGGCCUGUUGCCUAGAUUUUGAGAUCUGAGUUGGUUCAGGAUUAAAACUGUUAAAGAAACAGACAUUUUGGAAUGACUGCUACUGCCAGGUUUGGUUCUUAUUGCCCACUUGAAAUGCUACUGGAGGAAACCUUGUGGUUACCAAUAUUUACCCAUGGCCUUGCCUUAGUGACAGUUCCUCCCUGGGGCAAGGAAAUUUGUCAGUCCUGUAGAGCUACAUAUUGACAUGUUUGGAUAGCGAUAGUGGACAUUUUAGAGGUGGUACUUGCACAUAAUUUUGACUAUGGAAUGGUAAAUCUCUCCCUGGAAACACAAAUCCAGGAAAAGAUGUGGAGAUAGGUGUUCUCUAAAAAACACACAUUUUCCAACCUACAGGGGAGGAGGCUCAUUACAGCCCAUCACAAAGACAAGCCCAUUGAUUUUAAGCACAGUUGAAUUUCUCAUUAUCUACACUCUGCCCACUUACAACAAACUAUCCAAAAUGUCAACAUUUAUGUGGUUAAAUCUUCCCAUAUAAACAAAAUACAUCCAUAGAAAUAGGAUCAAUUAGGGUAGUCUUUCUCACAUGUAAACCUUUUCCAAAUCGUGAAUUAACAUUAACUAAAAGACAGCACUGUCUCCUUAUUUUUCUUUUAUUUUUUAAGUAUAUUCUUAUCUUCUCAGAAGAAUAAACUAUCUCUAUGAAUAAACACACAUUUUUUGAACACGCUUAAUACUUCGCUUUUUAAAAAAUGAAGUAGUUCUUAGCUACUUUUGAUUUGUUAUUUCUCUUCCUCUUUUAUCUUCUCUGUUUUGUUUGGCUUGCACUGACUCUUUCUCUAGUAAAAGGAUAGGCCCAUUGGGCCUCUAGUGCCUUCCUUCAACAACUGUUUCUCCAUCAUCUUCCUCCUUAUUUUCUGUGCACUUAUCCCAUUAUGGUAAACAUUGUCAUUGGUCACUCAACGUCUAUUCCAUUUCUUUCCUAUGGAGAAGUAAACCUGCAACUGGGAGAAUUAACCUUAUUGUGGUCAGUCUUUGGGCAUUCCAUCCUCUUUGUCAGUAAUACGUUCAAGAAAAGCAUGUGACACAAUAAAGGACAAUGUGAUAUAAAGAAGUACAUGCUGGUAACGUCUGAGAAUGUUCUCUCCACCUCUUACAGAGAACAGUUCAAGUUCAUCCCUUUUGACUUGAACAAAGGGGUAUUAUAGCAGCCCUUGAAAGUCAUUCUACUCCAAAGGGGAACCAGCUUCAGGAGAAAAACAAUAUUCUGGAUGGAGAGCAGAGAGGGAUACAAACUUUAGGACCUGAAAUCAUUCUUGAGCCCCUGGACUCACUGCUAUUUUUACACUCUGCUUUCUUACUGAUAAAAUCUGCCUGGAUUGGUAGUUCAAAGGACCCAAAUUAACACACGUCACUC
rnacentral:lncRNA from 1 species